rnacentral:rRNA from 1 species
UACGUAGGUGACAAGCGUUGUCCGGAUUUACUGGGCGUAAAGCGUGCGCAGGCGGUUUUGUAAGUCUGACGUGAAAGCCCCGGGCUUAACCUGGGAAUUGCGUUGGAGACUGCAAGGCUUGAAUCUGGCAGAGGGGGGGUAGAAUUCCACGUGUAGCAGUGAAAUGCGUAGAGAUGUGGAGGAACACCGAUGGCGAAGGCAGCCCCCCUGGGUCAAGAUUGACGCUCAUGCACGAAAGCGUGGGGAGCAAACAGG